rfam:Anolis carolinensis unplaced genomic scaffold chrTn0208, whole genome shotgun sequence.
CCAAAGGCUCUUUUAAGAGCCGCCCACUUUCUCAAUAAAAGAGCUG